GCUCUCUGCCUCUCUCCCAUUCCUUAAAAAAAUACCCUAGCCGCCGCUCUGUUCUUCCUCUCUCCCCUGUCGUCGGCCGCCGCCCAUCCCUCAGCUGGCCGCGCCCCAACCCUAGCCGCCGUCGCCGCACUCCUCUUCCUCUCUCCGCUGGCGUCAUGCGGUUCGGCAGCCGGCGCCCAGCUCCUCAUCCUCCAUCGCACACCGCGCCGCCCCAGCUCCUCGUCCUGCCCCCAUCGUCUCUCUCUCUCUCUCCGGGUCCCCUACCGCCACCCCCCUCCUCUCCAACGGCUGGGCGCUGCCCCUGGAUCCCGCAACUCCCUCGUCGUGGAAUGGGCGCAGCUUCGCCAGCUAGCGCAUCCUGGGCAUGACGCAGGCGGGCGGACCAAAAGCGGCGUUGCAUCUUCUUCCCUAUGCUCCAACUCCCCUUCGACCAAUCUCACGGCAGUUUGAGGCCACAACAACGGUCAGACGCCGACAAUUCUAGGAGAUUGGACGUUGGGGACGGCAAGAUCUGAGCCGCGAUGGCCGGAUCCGGGCUCUCUCCCUUCUCUCCUCCCCCUGUCGUUUGCGCUUAUUCAAACAUCAGCGCUGAGAGCUCCUCUCCAACAUCUGUGCCUAAUGUUCAGAGUUUGAUGCCUAGGAUCUUCAUGUGAAGUAGAUAUAUGUCCAGUUGCGCAAGCACAUAAAGAAUCCACUAAUAUAAUUUGAUAAUUAUGCUAGAGAAUGAAAGAUGAAUCGGUUUGUCCUGGUUACUCUUUAUUUUUAGGUUUUCUCCUUACCUUGUCUCCUUAAUAUGACAACAUGUAAUUACUCUUGCCCAUCUUAAGUGAGAAAGCAGAGCACCUGUUCCUAGAAGACGAUAAUAUGUCUGUGACUAUCCCUAGGUGGUUCAAAAUUGACACUGCCAUAAAGAGUGCCAUAAAGAGUGCAAAGUAAACUCGGUACCUAUAUGUGUAGCAGGAUAACACUGUAUCUUCAAUUUGAUUUAAGAUGUCCUUGUCAUUCUGAUAUCUCCAAUUUGGUACUUUUUAUCAUUUAAAUGAUUGCCCUUCAGUUCCUUUGCCUUCCAGAUUUGAAAGGACAUUGCUUAAUGACCUUCCCAAGCGUACAUUUAAUUAUAUGCAUAUUUCUUAUGACUCCAUUGCUAUUUCUAUUAGAUUGUGAGUAUAUAGGGAGCAAAUAUUUGUAACUAGCAUGACAUAAUAUAAUUUCACCUCUUCUUUUUCUUGUGCUGAAUAUUACUGGUUUUUAGUUAUAAGUUGUCAAUUUUUUUAGAAAACUUAUUGUGCAUAGACAGACUUGAUAUAGAUGCCAUCACAAGUAAUACUGCUUACAGACAUAGAUGUCUUUGAUUUUGAGCGAAUUGGUGAGCCAAAAGUUCAGUGUCUAAAAACAAGUGCAUUUAAGAUGAGGUAGAUUAAUUUCUUCAUGUCGAACCAACAUAUUAUUUUGCCUACAAUCAAGAAAGACUGAAAGAGAAUCUGUUUGAUUAAAUGCCUCAAUGCUCGACAACUAUUUACUUGUACCUGCUUGUGUCUAUUUAAUAUGCAUGUGACAUUGCUUGUCAGAUCCAAUAUUGCAUAGAAUGAAAUGCCACAUGCUGCUUUUUUCAUGCAUUUAAAUAUCCAUUAGAUCCCUUCUAGAGUAUUGCUUAUUAAGUCAACUUACUGCUCGAGUAACUUGCAUAGCAGGUCUUUUUACAUUAUUCUGACUAAAUAUUUGGUGCCAGAACAUUUUGUCUACACGUCUUAUGCUAGGUAUCUUUUUCUUUCAAUCUUUGAUUACCAAUUACUUGUCACAUAGCUUGAGCUUUCCCUGAGCUAAACUAUAUGCAUUUGGUGAAAUAUCCUUGUUGCUUAGAUUCUGACAGAACUCAUGUGCGAUUGAUUGUUUGUGACCUACUUCUUUCACUGAUACAAUGACCGUGAGAAGGAAAUUUAUUGUUACUCUAUAGCUUUGCAUUGCUAUGACUAGAUGUGUUGUGAUCUGAAUUCUGAAGUGAGCAUACCUGAUGUGGUGGUUGGAACUGGAUGGUUGCUAACUGAUUACUUUUGGGAAAAUUUUGGGUUCCAGGAAUAGCCAUCAUGAUCAAGGGAGUGAGCGUCCGCAACAAAUCAUAAGAUCAUUCAUCCUCUCCAGGCUGGAGGUUGUUGCAUCCAAUCUGAAUGACAGAAUUGUGAGGUGCAGUGGAGUACAAGUCCCAGCUGUACCUUGAGCUGACUUGCUACCACUACCAGUUCCGUUAGUAUUUGCCCUUAGACUAUCUGGACCAUACAUUCUUGAGCUUUAAGUUAUGCUAGCUUCAUUUAGUAAUCACCUUUUAUGAUCACAAUAGAGAUGAAUCACUACCACAUGAUUUAUUAAUUCUGUUGCCUUAGAAUAGUGAUGAUUUGCUUUAUUCUCUCAAAAACAGCGAUUUCCCUUUAAGUUUGACCAUUUUCCCAUUCCUCUUGUGACCUCUGUUUUGCAAGACAUAAUUAGUUGGUUUAGAAAUUA